GACGAACGCUGGCGGCGUGCUUAACACAUGCAAGUCGAACGCUGAAGCUUGGUGCUUGCCCUGGGUGGAUGAGUGGCGAACGGGUGAGUAAUACGUGAGUAACCUGCCCUUGACUCUGGGAUAAGCCUGGGAAACUGGGUCUAAUACUGGAUACGACAUGCCACUGCAUGGUGGUGUGUGGAAAGGGGUUUACUGGUUUUGGAUGGGCUCACGGCCUAUCAGCUUGUUGGUGGGGUAAUGGCCUACCAAGGCGACGACGGGUAGCCGGCCUGAGAGGGUGACCGGCCACACUGGGACUGAGACACGGCCCAGACUCCUACGGGAGGCAGCAGUGGGGAAUAUUGCACAAUGGGCGGAAGCCUGAUGCAGCGACGCCGCGUGAGGGAUGACGGCCUUCGGGUUGUAAACCUCUUUCAGCACGGAAGAAGCGAGAGUGACGGUACGUGCAGAAGAAGCGCCGGCUAACUACGUG
rnacentral:rRNA from 1 species